CGUGAGCGAAGAAGGCCUUCGGGUCGUAAAGCUCUGUUGUCAGGGAAGAACAAGUACCGGAGUAACUGCCGGUACCUUGACGGUACCUGACCAGAAAGCCACGGCUAACUACGUGCCAGCAGCCGCGGUAAUACGUAGGUGGCAAGCGUUGUCCGGAAUUAUUGGGCGUAAAGCGCGCGCAGGCGGUCCUUUAAGUCUGAUGUGAAAGCCCACGGCUCAACCGUGGAGGGUCAUUGGAAACUGGGGGACUUGAGUGCAGAAGAGGAGAGCGGAAUUCCACGUGUAGCGGUGAAAUGCGUAGAGAUGUGGAGGAACACCAGUGGCGAAGGCGGCUCUCUGGUCUGUAACUGACGCUGAGGCGCGAAAGCGUGGGGAGCGAACAGGAUUAGAUACCCUGGUAGUCCACGCCGUAAACGAUGAGUGCUAAGUGUUAGAGGGUUUCCGCCCUUUAGUGCUGCAGCAAACGCAUUAAGCACUCCGCCUGGGGAGUACGGCCGCAAGGCUGAAACUCAAAGGAAUUGACGGGGGCCCGCACAAGCGGUGGAGCAUGUGGUUUAAUUCGAAGCAACGCGAAGAACCUUACCAGGUCUUGACAUCCUCUGCCACUCCUGGAGACAGGACGUUCCCCUUCGGGGGACAGAGUGACAGGUGGUGCAUGGUUGUCGUCAGCUCGUGUCGUGAGAUGUUGGGUUAAGUCCCGCAACGAGCGCAACCCUUGUUCUUAGUUGCCAGCAUUCAGUUGGGCACUCUAAGGAGACUGCCGGUGACAAACCGGAGGAAGGUGGGGAUGACGUCAAAUCAUCAUGCCCCUUAUGACCUGGGCUACACACGUGCUACAAUGGAUAGAACAAAGGGCAGCGAAGCCGCGAGGUGAAGCCAAUCCCAUAAAUCUA
rnacentral:rRNA from 2 species